AAAAGAGCCCUGUUUAUUGGUAGGACUCAUGGCUUUGAUCACCACAAGGACAAUGAGUUUCUGAUGGAAUGGACUAAAAGGGAAGGAAUUCAUGUGCAACUUGCACAUGAUGGUUUGAGAAUCCCCAUAGCCCUAUGAUAAGGGGAAAAGAAGCUUCAUAAAGAUCUU